AAGAAGCAUAAUUCUUUAACUCUCUUGGGCAGAAGUAAUGACUUUCUAAAAAUGAUAUUACUCCAUGAUUAAACAGAAGAAAAUGCCACUGUGUUAAAAACAGCUUGCCUCACACCCCGAAGCUCUUGAUACUAUAAAUAGAGGAGGCUGGCAGCCUACAGCUCACCAUCUUCUACUGCACUGACAUGCCGUAGUGCUAGCAAGGGAUGUGAUUGCUGUGUUCACCUGAGGAAGCAGUACAGGUAACAAGUUUGGAUGGAUACAGUGUGGGUGUGACUGCUAAAGAAAUGCAAUAACAAUGACAUUAAAGGAAACAGAGUUUGAUAUCUCCAGACUUACAAGGACAAAAAUGAAACAUAAAAAUAAAAUUAAGACAAACACCUCAUACAAUCUGAGACUUGCCUUGCAGAAGAAAAAUCAUUUUAAAAAGUACUUGGAGGACACAACCUUACAGAGGAAGAUGCUAGGAUUAUUCUGAAAUUGUUAGCCUCUCUGUUUAAUUGAUAAAGUUAUUUUAUCUUGUGGAAAAAUGAUAGAUGUGUUACAAGGUUGCAUUCAUCCCAGGAUAAAGUGAAGAAAAAGAAGAAAAAAGAAAAAGAUGUUGCCCCCCCGCCCCCAGGAAAAAAAAAAAAAAAAAAAAAAAGAGAAAAGUGAUGUUGACCAGAGAAAGAUUAGAUCAGGUCACCUGGAUGAGAUGUGUGCUCAGAUCUCACCUUAGGCUUACACGCUUCAGCAGCCAUGACUCUUUCACUCAGACAGUACCAGCAGGGUGCCAAGAACUGGGGCAAGGACAGGGACCAGCUGGAAAGAUGCAUCACUGGCCCCUGUCAGAUAAGAGCAGAAAGGUCCUCAAAGCAGAACCUUCUCACACCUCCUUCUAAGGCAGUCCUGACCCCUGCCAUAUCUCUACCUGCUCACAAUGGAUCACAGUGCUGCUCAGUUGCCCUCCUCCUCCAUGCACAACAUGGUGACAUGAGCAUGCUAGUGCCUUCACUUCUCCGAGGCCAACAGCAUAACCAGUCUCACAAGGAUCAGUCACAAAUGUGGCAGUGAAAUCCAGCAAGAGUCAAAGCAUCACUGAACUCAUUGUACCGGAGAUUGAAGGAACGUGACAAGCAGCACAGGAGAAAAUGCCCAUUGCUAACCACAGAGACAAAGCACUGGGUACAGCCAGCAACAGAGCUGCAGAUUUAUUCUUUGUGCCACCACAGCAGCAGCAGUUCGGCUCAGUCCCUGCACACCUCCCUCCAGCUUUGCCUGUCAGGGUCAUGCUGCAGAAUAUGGCUGCUUCCAAGAGGAGAGGAGCAGGCAGGAAACCACAGCUGAAUUGCCCAAAAGACUCGGACACUUUGUAAUUGCCUGCUGGUGGGUAGGGUCCUCAACACUGCGUUUGUUCCUUAAAGGUCAGAGCGCAUUCUCCUUAAAAAAUCUCAGGGCACAUUUGUGCUCUACUGCAUGCUUUCUAUUUCCUUCAGAAACUGGCACAGGGAAAGCAGAGCUGAUUUUAGACUAGAGGAGCGAUGCCUGUUCUAGGAAUGCUUUAUUUAUUUAUUUAUUUUCUCAGACUCGAUGAUUUGUAUUUCCAAUCUCCUCGAACUUUCAGGAGCCUUCCAGUCAGCAAAGGUGAGAAGAUACCAAGCUGGCAAUUUUCCCCUGCUGCUAUUACUGGUUUAGUUUGAAAUCAACAUUGCUUUAACAUGCUCCUGCAGUUAAUAUACUGCAUUGAGGAGCUGAGGAGGAAAGAGAAGGGCAACAACCAAUUCACCUGCCAGCUUAAUGGCCUAUUUGGAUAAAGCUAAAAGCAAACUGUGGUUUUGACUGUAAGCAGUGAUGUCCUCAGAGCCAGAGAUGUUAUUACAUACUUGUGAUCAAUAUAUAUUACAAAGCAAUGUCAUUUUCUUUUUCUGCUUUAACCUGUGGAAGGCGUAUGUCUCUAAAACAUUAAAGUAAGUCACAAUAUUGAUAAUUACAGGUUCUAAAUUCCUUGCCUUACAUGGCUACAAUAAGAAUGUUAUGAAGCCUAAAAUUCAAAUUAUCAACACGCCAAGAUAUUCAGGAAAAGGACAAAUGAAAUACAAUCACAAACGACAGAUCUGAAUCAGAGCUUACGGCAAAUACAAACUGAAGUUACCUUGAAGCUUAGAAAGAGUAACUGCCUGUAUUCCCUGUUUAAACAAAAGUACAACAUAUGACUUUACAGCUCACAGAAGGUUUUGGACAAAUGACUCUGGACACUCUCACCUUCUAGUGAUCCAUAGAAACUAUUUGUAUUUAACCAUUAACACAUCCAUAGCUGUGAAUAAUUGUAUUUAUUCUGAGAAAAUGGACAUUUAUAAUAGCAUUUUUGUGUUAAAUAAUCUUUUGUUCAUUGAAGAUGAGACAAGGACAACCUAGCCGAGACAGCAAUGAUUUCUUUGUAUCAUCUUUGGUGAUCUCACUAUAAAUCAUUUAUUUCUUUCCUUUAUUUCCAUAAACCUGCCCUUUAUUCUUGCUUCCAGCUCUCCCUCGGAAAACACCUCAUAUUCCUGCAUUCUUCAUGAGGAGCACACACCAUUUAUCCAUUGUAGCUGUUUGUACAGCUCCCAUCGGCAAGGUUUGAACAGACCAAAAGGCUCUCAGUCCCUUUGCCAAUUCCCUGAACUACCCAGUGCCAGUUCCUUUCUGACUCUAACUCUGCUUCUCUCUUUGGUACAUGUCCGUAAUUUUAUGGCAACAGACAUGGCCAGACAUGGAAGUAAGAAACAGUGAAAAAAGAGUAACAUCUAAAGGAUAUCUAUACAUAUACAAUGCUGCAAACUGUUUACACUAAUUCCUGGUGAAUAAAUUGGAUUCUUUUUUCUUAA